AAUCUUGCGCAAUGGGCGAAAGCCUAACGCAGCCAUGCCGCGUGAAUGAUGAAGGUCUUAGGAUUGUAAAAUUCUUUCACCGGGGACGAUAAUGACGGUACCCGGAGAAUAAGCCCCGGCCAACUCCGUUCGAGCAGCCGCGGUAAUACGAAGGGGGCUAGCGUUGCUUGGAAUUACUGGGCGUAAAGGGCGCGUAGGCGGACAUUUAAGUCAGGGGUAAAAUCCCAGAGCUAAACUCUGGAACUGCCUUUGAUACUGGGUGUCUUGAGUGUGAGAGAGGUAUGUGGAACUCCGAGUGUAGAGGUGAAAUUCGUAGAUAUUCGGAAGAACACCAGUGGCGAAGGCGACAUACUGGCUCAUUACUGACGCUGAGGCGCGAAAGCGUGGGGAGCAAACA
rnacentral:rRNA from 1 species